rnacentral:rRNA from 1 species
AUUCCAGCUCCAAUAGUGUAUAUUAAAGUUGUUGCAGUUAAAAAGCUCGUAGUUGGAUUUCUGGCGGGAGCGAUCGGUCCUUCACUCAGUGUUGGAACCUGAUUGUCUCCUGCCAUCCAUGGAGAAAACUUAUCUGGCAUUAAGUUGUCGGGUAGGCAAUCUCCAUCUUUUACUGUGAAAAAAUUAGAGUGUUCAAAGCAGGCUUAUGCCGUUGAAUAUAUUAGCAUGGAAUAAUAAGAUAGGACUUUGGUACUAUUUUGUUGGUUUGCGCACCAAAGUAAUGAUUAAUAGGGACUGCCGGGGGCAUACGUAUUGCGGCGGGAGAGGUGAAAUUCGUGGAUCGCCGCAAGACGAACGACAGCGAAAGCAUUUGCCAAGAAUGUUCUCAUUA